UUAAAAAGCUCGUAGUUGAACCUUGGGCCUGGCUGAUCUGUCCUCCUAACCGAGCGCACGGAUUCGGUCGGGCCUUUCCUUCUGGGGAGCCCGAUGUCCUUCACUGGGCGUCGUGGGGAACCAGGACUUUUACCUUGAAAAAAUUAGAGUGUUCAAAGCAGGCCUUUGCUCGAAUACAUUAGCAUGGAAUAAUAGAACAGGACAGAGGUUCUAUUUUGUUGGUUUCUAGGACCGCUGUAAUGAUUAAUAGGGAUAGUCGGGGG
rnacentral:rRNA from 1 species